GGGCGUAUGGUCUAGUGGUAUGAUUUCUGUUUUGCAAUGCCUUUGUUGCACCUGCAUAUACAGACGGUCCCGCGUUCGAUCCGCGGUACGUCCA
rfam:Madurella mycetomatis strain mm55 MMYC01_Sc2085, whole genome shotgun sequence.